UGCGCCGUCAUUGGGGAGUAGCCGGUUUCUGGAGAAUAAAAAGCCAGAAACGCCCGUAUCAACAUACUCGUUUCGCCGUAAGAAACGUGGUGCGGGCAGCCAGGUAAGGUUGGCGAGACCAUAGACACGUAACUCCGUCGUUUGGUUGGGGGUGGGUUACGUGUAUAUGGAGCCACCCGGCCGAGGCU
rfam:Serratia marcescens subsp. marcescens Db11, complete genome